rnacentral:rRNA from 1 species
GGCAUAACCCCGGGAAACUGGGGAUAAUUCCGGAUAACUCGAAUAUGCUGGAAUGCUUUUCGAGUGAAAUGGAUUCGUCUGCCCAAGGAUGGGUCUGCGGCCUAUCAGGUAGUAGUGGGUGUAAUGUACCUACUAGCCUACGACGGGUACGGGUUGUGAGAGCAAGAGCCCGGAGAUGGAUUCUGAGACAUGAAUCCAGGCCCUACGGGGCGCAGCAGGCGCGAAAACUUUACAAUGCGGGAAACCGUGAUAAGGGGACACCGAGUGCCAGCAUCAUAUGCUGGCUGUCCAGGUGUGCAAAAUACACCUGUUAGCAAGGGCCGGGCAAGACCGGUGCCAGCCGCCGCGGUAACACCGGCGGCCCGAGUGGUGAUCGUGAUUAUUGGGUCUAAAGGGUCCGUAGCCGGUUUGGUCAGUCCUCCGGGAAAUCUGACAGCUUAACUGUUAGGCUUUCGGAGGAUACUUGCCAGACUUGGAACCGGGAGAGGUAAGAGGUACUACAGGGGUAGGAGUGAAAUCUUGUAAUCCCUGUGGGACCACCUGUGGCGAAGGCGUCUUACCAGAACGGGUUCGACGGUGAGGGACGAAAGCUGGGGGCACGAACCGGAUUAGAUACCCGGGUAGUCCCAGCCGUAAACGAUGCUCGCUAGGUGUCAGGCAUGGCGCGACCGUGUCUGGUGCCGCAGGGAAGCCGUGAAGCGAGCCACCUGGACUCCGCCCCGCAAGGCU